rnacentral:rRNA from 1 species
GAUGAACGCUAGCUACAGGCUUAACACAUGCAAGUCGCGGGGCAGCGGGGGUCUAGCUUGCUAGGCUUGCCGGCGACCGGCGCACGGGUGAGUAACGCGUAUCCGACCUUCCGCACACUCCGGGCCAGCCUUCCAAAAGGAAGAUUAAUCCCGGAUGGGAUGGCGUGGCUGCAUGGCAGCGCCAUUAAAGGAGCGAUCCGGUGUGCGAUGGGGGUGCGUUCCAUUAGCUUGUUGGCGGGGUAACGGCCCACCAAGGCGACGAUGGAUAGGGGUUCUGAGAGGAAGGCCCCCCACAUUGGGACUGAGACACGGCCCAAACUCCUACGGGAGGCAGCAGUGAGGAAUAUUGGUCAAUGGGCGCGAGCCUGAACCAGCCAAGUAGCGUGGAGGAUGACCGCCCUACGGGUUGUAAACUCCUUUUAUAAGGGAAUAAAACCUCCCACGUGUGGGAGCUUGUAUGUACCUUAUGAAUAAGCAUCGGCUAACUCCGUGCCAGCAGCCGCGGUAAUACGGAGGAUGCGAGCGUUAUCCGGAUUUAUUGGGUUUAAAGGGAGCGUAGGCCGUCUCAAAAGCGUGUUGUGAAAUGUCCGGGCUCAACCGGGGCCGUGCAGCGCGAACUGUGAGACUUGAGUGUGCGGAAGGUAUGCGGAAUUCGUGGUGUAGCGGUGAAAUGCAUAGAUAUCACGAAGAACUCCGAUUGCGAAGGCAGCAUGCCGCAGCAUUACUGAUGCUGAUGCUCGAAGGUGCGGGUAUCGAACAGGAUUAGAUACCCUGGUAGUCCGCACAGUAAACGAUGGAUGCCCGCUGUGAGCCUGUUUAAUGGUUUGCGGCCAAGCGAAAGCGUUAAGCAUCCCACCUGGGGAGUACGCCGGCAACGGUGAAACUCAAAGGAAUUGACGGGGGCCCGCACAAGCGGAGGAACAUGUGGUUUAAUUCGAUGAUACGCGAGGAACCUUACCCGGGCUUGAACUGUGCCUGAAUCCAGAGGAAACUCCGGAGCCAGCAAUGGCAGGCAUGGAGGUGCUGCAUGGUUGUCGUCAGCUCGUGCCGUGAGGUGUCGGCUUAAGUGCCAUAACGAGCGCAACCCUUACCGAUAGUUGCCAUCAGGUAACGCUGGGGACUCUAUCGGGACUGCCGUCGUAAGAUGUGAGGAAGGUGGGGAUGACGUCAAAUCAGCACGGCCCUUACGUCCGGGGCUACACACGUGUUACAAUGGGGGGUACAGCAGGCCGCUACCGGGCGACCGGAUGCCAAUCCCUAAAACCCCUCUCAGUUCGGACUGGAGUCUGCAACCCGACUCCACGAAGCUGGAUUCGCUAGUAAUCGCGCAUCAGCCACGGCGCGGUGAAUACGUUCCCGGGCCUUGUACACACCGCCCGUCAAGCCAUGAAAGCCGGGGGUACCUGAAGUGCGUAACCGCAAGGAGCGCCCUAGGGUAAAACUGGUGAUUGGGGCUA